AUACGGAGGGUGCAAGCGUUAUUCGGAAUCACUGGGCGUAAAGGACGCGUAGGCGGGUUGGCAAGUCAGAUGUGAAAUUCUACAGCUUAACUGUAGAACUGCAUUUGAAACUGCUAACCUAGAGUAUGGGAGGGGGAGAUGGAAUUAGUGGUGUAGGGGUAAAAUCCGUAGAUAUCACUAGGAAUACCGAAAGCGAAGGCGAUCUCCUGGAACAUAACUGACGCUAAGGCGUGAAAGCGUGGGGAGCAAACAGGAUUAGAAACCCUAGUAGUCC
rnacentral:rRNA from 1 species